rnacentral:rRNA from 1 species
GACGAACCGUGCGAACGUUAUUCGGAAUCAUUGGGCUUAAAGGGCGCGUAGGCGGCGGCGUAAGUUGGAAGUGAAAUCCCAUCGGCUCAACCGUGGAAUUGCUCCCAGUACUGCGUCGCUCGAGGGGGAUAGGGGUCUGCGGAACUACCGGUGGAGCGGUGAAAUGUGUUGAUAUCGGUGGGAACGCCAGUGGCGAAAGCGGCAGACUGGACCCUUCCUGACGCUGAUGCGCGAAAGCCAGGGGAGCAAGCGGG